UACGAGGGGAGCUAGCGUUGUUCGGAAUUACUGGGCGUAAAGGGCGCGUAGGCGGUACCAUAAGUCAGAUGUGAAAGCCCUGGGCUUAACCUAGGAGGUGCAUUUGAAACUGUGGAACUAGAGAUCGAGAGAGGAAAGUGGAAUUACGAGUGUAGAGGUGAAGUUCGUAGAUAUUCGUAAGAACACCAGUGGCGAAGGCGACUUUCUGGCUCGAUACUGACGCUAAGGCGCGAAAGCGUGGGGAGCAAACAGG
rnacentral:rRNA from 1 species